rnacentral:tRNA from 1 species
AGAGAAUUGACUGAGGGGUUUAAAGUGACAAGCUUGAAACUUGUUUGGUUUAUUAAAUCACAUCCG